CUUGAAGCUUUCCUUAUCAUGAUGUAUUGUCCACUACGGAUAUACCGAGCAAACCUGGGGAAAGAGCUUCAACCAGGGAAUCUUUAGAAAUGGAUUAUCUAAGUACAGUAAAGGAUAAGGCUACAAGAAAGAGAAAACCUAGACGAUGGGAGCUCAAAUUCGCCAGGAGAAGUUUCUUCCCAUGGUGGAGGUCAGUAUUGUCUGCCAGGUCCCCUGUCAAGGUGAUCCCAUCGAGAUGGGUGCGUUCUACGAAAGACUUGGAUCGUGAGAAAGCUUUGAAGAAACCAAUUUCAGACUUGGACCGUGAGAUAGUUUUGAAGAAAGCAACCACCCAUGGGUCUGCUGCACCGAUGGGCAGAGCUCCUCAAGUGGGAUCUUAUCAUCAGCAAAGAAUGCUGUUUGGUACAGCGGUUGUUUAUCAACCUAGAAGGCUGUUUAGUACGGCGGCAUUGGCACUCCUGAAAGUGCUGAAGAAAGUUUGAGUAGAAAGGUGCCGGCUUGUAGAGUUGUGGUAUAUAGUAA